rnacentral:lncRNA from 1 species
AGUGAAUGAGCAUCAGCCCUAGAGCUGACCUGCUUGAAUUCAGGUGGUGGCCUUCCACUUUUAAGGGCAAAUUUCAACUUAAAGAUUUUUUAAAGAGAUUUUAUUGUAUGUAUUUUGCUAUAUUUCUGUAUGUUAAAUGCAUAGAAUGCCGAUGACCCAUUGACUUGACCUCUAGAAGAUCAGAGAGGGUGUCGGGUCCCCUAAGACCAGAAUUAUAGGUGAUUGUUAGUGGCCAUGUGCGUAUUGGGAAUUGAACCCAGGUCCUCUGGCUGGUCAGCUAUUGCUUUUAAUUGUUGAGACAUCUUUCCAGCCCCUGAUUUCAACUUUUAAGAUCCUAUUAACAGCACUCUUGAGAUUUUAUGUUGAUAAAAGCUCUAAUGUGCAUGAAAUGCGGAGAAAGUGCUUGCAGAAGGAAGGAAGCUUUCAACUCACCGUUGCCUUUGUUAGAGUUGUUAGCGUCAAUUAUUACAAGGGAAAUGUUUUGACAGGUGAAUCUAGUCCGUUGGUUUCUAGUGUGCGACCUUACAAUUUAUAGGGAGAAAAAGAUUUGAACGGGGAUUUCAAGCUGGAUGAUAGAGGGUCUUGAGCCCAAGCUUCGGGAGACAUCUUUCAGGCUUAGGUCUGUGUGGAGGCAAGCAGUUACUUUUGCAACCUUGUGUACAAGAGACCAUUAACUGAAUUAGAGCCAUUAAAGGCAAGCUGUAAAAGGUGUGAUUUGGCGCGUCCUUCCGUACACUCUGAUGAGAGAGCUUAUCAGGGGUGGUUAUGGGAGACACAGGAGCUAUACCACAGCAAGGAGCUUGGAGUUUGUUUUCUUUUCUGCUUUUCAUAGGUCAUGGAAAACAGGACCCAGUUAGCUCUUAAAGAGUGCCUACCUCUUCUCUGUCUCCCUAAUUAUGACUUGGACUCACAUGUGGAGCUGCCUUCACUAUAAAAAAAUAACCUCAUAGGGCUGUCAGCAUCGGGAUGUGACUGAGAGGCUCUGCCAAGCUUCUGUGGGGGGUGAGGGCUGUCUUCCAUGGGCGCUCGAAAGUUUUUACUUCCUGUUUGUGUGUGGUCAUCUUCAUCAGCCAGUGCAUUGGGUGGUGGAAAGCCCCACUGAAAAGGACAGAGUGGAGCACAGGCUGAAAAUAGGGAAGAGACUGCACACAAAAGUGUGUGUGUGUUUAUUUACUUUGUGUGUGUGUGUGUGUGCGUGUGUGGUACGGUCUGGAGGGAGGAAAAGUAUGUGUGGCUAAACCUCACUAAAUUGGAGAAUGGUGGGAUGGCACAGACAGAUUUUCAGGGCAGAUGAAAAGACUUGGUGGUUCUGUUAUUCUCAGAGUGGUAAUCCAAGCAAGGGGACAAGAGGUGUGAGAGGGCUGACCUUCAUCCAUAAGUAGCAGUCAUUAUUAUCAAGUACCGAUCAUUAUGUUAUUUAACUUUUAAAAUCAUUUUAAAGGGAUAGGAUCCAAAAAAUCUUCGUGUUGGUAUGAUUAUUUCCUAAUAUAUGCUUUCAAUUGGUCUUGUAUCCGAGACAAAACUUGCUUCAUCAACCUACUUUGGGUCCUGUUUGCCCUUAGUUUUGGGUUUAAGAUGGUCCCUGAAUGCAGUGAAAUUUCCUGUGGAGACUACUGUGGCUAGGUACUUGUCUUAGUUCCUCUCCUCAUGUUGGAUUAGCAAGUGACUAAUAAUUCGGUGUUGGGAUCCUGGGCUCCCACUGCAAAAUGCAAUUUCUUAGGAUGUUCUGGAUCCCUGGGACGCAGUUCUGGCUGAGUCCAGGUGGCCCCCUACCUGCCAGUGGUUCUCACAGUACCAGAUGCCAAUAUUACCUAAUGACUUGUCACAUGGUCCGGUCCCCAAGAGAUAGAAUCAGGGUUUAAAUUGUUGAGGAGUAGAUCUCUGAUUGAGAAUGGAGGCAGAUCUUGAUGGUUUCUGAAUUGCUGCUCUCCUUCAUUGCUCUCGAAGGAAGGGGUUCCCCAGUACAGAUGUUAAUCAAGUGCGGGCUCUCAUUUUUGCCCCUUUAAGCUUACACCUGAGCGGUGUGGAUUUGGUUCAAUUGGCAGAAUACUGUUCUAACAAUCACGGAACCUGGACUUGAUCCCAAGCAACACACACGCUUAGCAUAGUGGUGCACAGCAGUCUCCAGGUAAUUCCAGGAGAUAGGAGUUGUAGGCCAUCCUUGGCUAUAUACUGAGUUCUAGGUCAGGCUAGAGCUACACAAGACCAAGUCUCAAAAACAAAGUUCACACAAAGUCGUGUGUUAGAUGGAGUAAAGUGGAUGUCACAGAGACAAAGCACUUCCUUGUUCAUUGUGGCCACUGGGGAUUUGUGAUAUUGCGGAAGACCUGUUGGCAGAUAGGUUCUUGGUAGUCUCUGGGGUGCUCUGCUUUGAUGCAUCACUUGCCUUCCUUAUUAAAGUGAUUCUCAACCCCCACCCCUGCCCUUAUUAAAUCAUUAUAAGCCUUCUUCCUUACCAGUUCCUCAAA